rnacentral:rRNA from 1 species
UACGGAGGGUGCAAGCGUUAUCCGGAUUCACUGGGUUUAAAGGGUGCGUAGGUGGGCAAGUAAGUCAGUGGUGAAAUCUCCGGGCUUAACCCGGAAACUGCCAUUGAUACUAUUUGUCUUGAAUACUGUGGAGGUCAGCGGAAUAUGUCAUGUAGCGGUGAAAUGCUUAGAUAUGACAUAGAACACCAAUUGCGAAGGCAGCUGGCUACACAAAUAUUGACACUGAUGCACGAAAGCGUGGGGAUCAAACAGG